rnacentral:tRNA from 1 species
GGGGCGGUGGUGUAAUGGUAACAUCCAAAGCUGUGGCCGGGGGUUCGAUUCCCCCUCGCCCCC